AUGAAGAGUAUCAUGGUGGAUGUCAAUCGCAUCCGAAACUUAGCAACCAAGAACUCGUUUGUUGCUCAUGAAGCUUGCCGUCGUUCCUGGAAGAGUCUCACUUUGCUCUGCGCUGAAGAUGAUCUUCGCACAGAUGGAUACAUUGAACACUUCAAGUUUGAUUCCAGGCCUCCGCAAAAUGUAAGUUGGCGUCGCACACCCUCCCUUGAAGAUUCUGAGUACUCAUCCUCGGCUGCAACUGUUGUUGCGAGAUUCGUCGAUGAAGAAGAUGACGCCACUUCUCCUGCUCUCACUGCUCAGCAUGAUGAUGAUGCAUCAGGCCUAUCUGCACCACCAAACUCCACCGUCGACCCUGCUGCACCAACUUCUUCACCAACUGGGAACGAGUAG
rnacentral:rRNA from 1 species